GACGAACGCUGGCGGCGUGCUUAACACAUGCAAGUUGAAUGGUAAGGCCCUUUCGGGGGUACACGAGUGGCGAACGGGUGAGUAACACGUGGGUGAUCUGCCCUGCACUUUGGGAUAAGCCUGGGAAACUGGGUCUAAUACCGGAUAGGACUACGCGAUGCAUGUCGUGUGGUGGAAAGCUUUUGCGGUGUGGGAUGGGCCCGCGGCCUAUCAGCUUGUUGGUGGGGUGAUGGCCUACCAAGGCGACGACGGGUAGCCGGCCUGAGAGGGUGUCCGGCCACACUGGGACUGAGAUACGGCCCAGACUCCUACGGGAGGCAGCAGUGGGGAAUAUUGCACAAUGGGCGCAAGCCUGAUGCAGCGACGCCGCGUGGGGGAUGACGGCCUUCGGGUUGUAAACCCCUUUCAGCACAGACGAAGCGUAAGUGACGGUAUGUGCAGAAGAAGCACCGGCCAACUACGUG
rnacentral:rRNA from 1 species